UACAGAGGUGGCAAGCGUUGUUCGGAAUUACAGGGCGUAAAGGCCGCGUAGGCGGCCUUCUAAGUCGGACGUGAAAGCCCCAGGCUUAACCUGGGAACUGCGUCCGAUACUGGAAGGCUUGGAUUCGGGAGAGGGAUGUGGAAUUCCAGGUGCAGCGGUGAAAUGCGUAGAUAUCUGGAGGAACACCGGUGGCGAAGGCGGCAUCCUGGACCGACAUCGACGCUGAGGCGUGAAAGCGAGGGGAGCAAAUGGG
rnacentral:rRNA from 1 species